UCCGGGCCCUACGGGGCGCAGCAGCUAAGAAACCUUUACAUUGCACGCGAGUGCGAUAAGGGAACUCCAAGUGCGAAGGCAUAUCGUCCUCGCUUUUCUGGACCGUAAGGUGGUCCAGGAACAAGGGCUGGGCAAGACCGGUGCCAGCCGCCGCGGUAAUACCGGCAGCCCAAGUGAUGGCCGAUAUUAUUGGGCCUAAAGCGUCCGUAGCCGGCCCGGGCAAGUCCGUUGGGAAAUCUGCUCGCUUAACGAGCAGGCGUCCAGCGGAAACUGUUCGGCUUGGGACCGGAAGACCCGAGGGGUACGUCCCGGGUAGGAGUGAAAUCCUGUAAUCCUGGACGGACCGCCGGUGGCGAAAGCGCCUCGGGAGGACGGAUCCGACGGUGAGGGACGAAAGCUAGGGUCUCGAACCGGAUUAGAUACCGGGGUAGUACUAGCCGUAAACGAUGCCCGCUAGGUGUGGCGCAGGCUACGAGCCUGCGCUGUGCCGUAGGGAAGCCGAGAAGCGGGCCGCCUGGGAAGUACGUCCGCAAGGAUGAAACUUAAAGGAAUUGGCGGGGGAGCACUACAACCGGAGGAGCCUGCGGCUUAAUUGGAUUCAACGCCGGACACAUCACCGGCCCCGACAGCAGUAAUGACGGUCAGGUUGAUGACCUUACUCGACGCUGCUGAGAGGAGGUGCAUGGCCGCCGUCAGUUCGUACCGUGAGGCGUCCUGUUAAGUCAGGCAACGAGCGAGACCCGCACCCCUAAUUGCCAGCAGUACCCAUUGGGGUAGCUGGGUACAUUAGGGGGACUGCCACUGCCAAAGUGGAGGAAGGAACGGGCAACGGUAGGUCAGUAUGCCCCGAAUGGGCCGGGCUACACGCGGGCUACAAUGGCCGGGACAAUGGGAUGCGACACCGAGAGGUGGAGCUAAUCUCCUAAACCCGGUCGUAGUUCGGAUUGAGGGCUGGAACCCGCCCUCAUGAAGCUGGAUUCGGUAGUAAUCGCGUGUCACAAGCCCGCGGUGAAUACGUCCCUGCUCCUUGCACACACCGCCCGUCAAAUCACCCGAGUGGGGUCCGGAUGAGGCCCGGUUUCCGGGUCGAAUCUGGGCUCCGCAAGGGGGAUUAAGUCGUAACAAGGUAACCAAGGGCGAAUUCUGC
rnacentral:rRNA from 1 species